rnacentral:rRNA from 1 species
GACGAACGCUGGCGGCGUGCUUAACACAUGCAAGUCGAACGAAGUGGCGAACGGGUGAGUAACGCGUAAUCAACCUGCCCUUCAGGGGGGGACAACAGUUGGAAACGACUGCUAAUACCGCAUACUGAAGGAGGGGAUUGCGUCUGAUUAGCUAGUUGGAGGGGUAACGGCCCACCAAGGCGAUGAUCAGUAGCCGGUCUGAGAGGAUGAACGGCCACACUGGGACUGAGACACGGCCCAGACUCCUACGGGAGGCAGCAGUGGGGAAUUUUGGACAAUGGGCGCAAGCCUGAUCCAGCCAUGCCGCGUGUCUGAAGAAGGCCUUCGGGUUGUAAAGGACUUUUGUCAGGGAAGCGGUACCUAACGAAUAAGCACCGGCUAACUCCGUGCCAGCAGCCGCGGUAAUAC